rnacentral:rRNA from 1 species
GCGGAGGAUCAUUAUUGAAUGUACCUUGGGGUUACUGUUUGCUGGCUUUCAAAACUGAAGGCAUGUGCACGUAACUCUGAAUACUAUUCAUCCACCUGUGCACUUUUUGUAGGAGUUUCUUUUAGGUUGGCUCAUUGAGGUCUAUGACCUUUGUAGUUGAUUUGAAAGGCUUCUAUGUCUUACAAACAAGUUAAGCAUGUUUUAGAAUGUUGUUUUACUGGGACUUCAUUGACCCUUUAAACUUUAUACAACUUUCAGCAACGGAUCUCUUGGCUCUCCCAUCGAUGAAGAACGCAGCGAAAUGCGAUAAGUAAUGUGAAUUGCAGAAUUCAGUGAAUCAUCGAAUCUUUGAACGCACCUUGCACCCUCUGGUAUUCCGGAGGGUAUGCCUGUUUGAGUGUCAUUAAAUUCUCAACUUCAUUAGUUUGUAAUGAACUAAUUGAAGCUUGGAAGUGGAGGCUUUGCUGGCAUCUUAGAUGUUUCGGCUCCUCUUAAAUGCAUUAGUAGAUCCCGUUUGUUGGACUACCUUGGUGUGAUAAUUAUCUACGCUUUGGUUCAGUCUGACAGCUCUGUGGACAUUUCUUCAGACCUAGUCUGGCUUGGGUUUUUGCAUUAGUUUGCUAUACCUGGUUCAUUAGAGUAGGGCUUAUUUGCUUUCUAAUCGUCUGUGUAUUACAGACAAUGCUUUCUGACUAUUUGACCUCAAAUCAGGUAGGAUUACCCGCUGAACUUAA